rnacentral:lncRNA from 1 species
UUGCUUGAAUCGUAUAAGCCGAGUCUUGUAUACGUGUAAGGACCGCAGCUUGAAAAUGACGAAGUUGGUUCUUUUGCCUAGAGAGAUGCUGAUUUGCCAACUGCUGAAUCUAUAUCCGACAUCUUUCCACAUUGCCUACAACUAGCUUUGGCUGAGCUUUUGGAGUGAAAUGCAGUGCAACUCACUAUAUGCUACUGUAGAUGUUCCCACAAGAAGUCCCUGAAAGAACCAUUGGUUUUUCUACACUGAAUUAGCAAGCAGACAGACCAUGAUAUAAUCUUAGUCUGCUUGCUGGUAUCCAUUCUACUGUCUUUGGCAGAUAUAGUAAUUUUCAAGGCACCUCCAAUCUUGCAGAAAUUGGCAUUAGCUCGGGCGAUGUAUUUAGAAAAAAAAAUUGUGGUCAAGGCUGCAGAUUAUGUU